AUCCGUCUGACGAGUCCUAAAUAGGACGAAAUGCGCAUCCUAGAU
rnacentral:hammerhead_ribozyme from 1 species